UUUGUGGGAAAUUAACCGUUUAGAUUAAUCGAUAAAUUAGUCGACAGAUUAAUCAUUCAUCGAAAUAAAAAUAGUCGUUAGUGGCAGCCCUAGU